AUUCCAGCUCCGAUAGCGUAUAUUAAAUUUGUUGCGGGUAAAAAGUGCGUAGUUGGAUUGUCCUUUCUCUUAUGAUGUUAGUGGGUUGCCUUCGCGGUGGCUCGCAGCUCGUGAGGGAAGUGGUAACAUCUYDUCUCGGUMCGGUGCCUUUCGCGAGGUGCCGCRCYAAVUCAAGAAUUUUUACCUUGACAAAAUCAGAGUGCUCAAAGCGGGCUCCCCUCGCAAGAGGAGAUGCUCUACUGUUCUCGCAUGGAAUAAUGGAACAAGGCUUCGUGCCGCGUUCAGUUGGUCUCACGGCUUGUGAAGCAAUGAUUAAAAGG
rnacentral:rRNA from 1 species